UAUUUCAGACUGAGGAGAGCCGAGAGGAAUUUCUUCUUCAGAAGAUCCAAGAAAGAAGUUUUACAAGGUUGAGGGACAGAUUACUGUAAAGCACACUGCAUGGCUGCAGGUGGGGAGAAGGAAACAGCCCUGAGCCGCCCUGCCAUUUUAUACCUAGUCAUGCUGCUGGAAAGCAAAGACAAAGGACGCGGAGAAGACGGAGGCUGGUGUGCGCACGGCUGUCGGUGAGCCCGCUGCCCCGUGACGGCGGCAUCGCGCCCGUGACAACGCGCAUCCCCACGCCGUGGUUCACGGCACCCAGAGGCACGUCCAUGCGGGAAGGCUGGUGCGGUUACGCCCAGGGGGCCUGAGGCUGGAACACAGGAGCUGGGCUUUAAAAAGACCGUGUGAAAAAAGUGGUUACUUUUUGCUGACAAGGUAAUACUAAAAUUGACUUCUUCCUCUUGCUGGCCUGGUAUGAAUACAGACUUGACAUUACUUUGCGGCACCUCUUCUUUCUGUUGAAUCAACUAACAGGAUAGCUUCAGGAUUCAGAGGAUACUUGUGCUUGGCAUGAAAAAUUUUAUGUAAAUCCUGUUGUGGGAAUGUUAAUGCAAAGCUAACUGGGUAAAUGAGCCAAAGCAAGCCUUUCGUUGAUCUGAUUUUUUCUUUUGCCUUUUUUUUUUUUCCCCCUCCCUGAAGCACUGUACUCCAGCAUUAAUAAAGUUUGAAGACUAUGCUAAUGAUGUACAGCACACAUGCUCUAAAAGCCAUCUACUCUAUGUAAAUGCUACCUUGUACUGCUAGUUCAGCUUGGAAGCUCCCUGUGAAUGUUUUGGAGACUUUUAGCAUCUCCAAAAUAUUUCUGGAAAGCAAGCAAAUGAUUUAGGGUCAGGACACCGGAUUUUUAAAUUAAUUAUCACUUUGAAAAAAGCCUUUGUCACGAAGAGCUGGACUAUGAAGAGGGCAUUUGGCUCUGGAUUAAUUUUAGAUGAAGUUUUAGGACCAGGCUAGGCUGCAGGUUUGUCUUCAAUGAUACUUAAAUGGAAUGCCCUGGCCUUCCUGCAUCCUGGCCUGUAACUGCACGGGACCAUGCUCUGCCAACUUUCUGUCACCUUGGGCUUCAUUAGCAUGAGAACACAGACGCCUUUUGGCUUUGUGUCUCACUGCAAAAUAAACCAUUGGGGCUGGUUUGCCAGUCCUCUCCUUCGGCCAGUUGUAUAUAGGUGCCUCAUAUACUCGACUUUAAAGGGCCUUGGACAGGAUUUAUUUAGGUUCAGUUUUUUUAUUACAGCUCUUAAGUAGGUACCAGAGUGAUGGUUCCUGUUUACAAUGGUGACCAGUUACGCAGGUAACUACUCCUAAAGGACCUAAGAGCAUCGGCUGACCAAGUGCUCAGCAGAAUAAGUAAAUAUUUUAUAAUUAAGACCUUAAUUGAGAAUUCUGUAUUUAAAAAAAAAAAUAUAAAAAUCCUACCGCUUCCGUAAGAAAUAUUACCUGUGCAUUUAAGGCAACCAGGGGUUCACUUUCUAUUUCUAUUCUAAUAGCUGUUUUAAUAGAUGGUGAUAUAAUAAGUACAAUGUUUGAUACGGUGAGUGAACCAGAACACUUAAGAAUAUUUGCAGAAAGAAAUUCUGAACAAGUAACACAGACAACUAGCAGGUAAUUUUUCUUACAUGAAGAAACUUUCAAUAAGUCACAUUCAUUCAAUGAGGGAAAGAAGCAGUGCCACGAACCAGCAUAUGUGCACAGCACGCCUUUUGUCUACAGCAGAAAUCCUGUGUGUUACCUUUGAACUAGCUACGUAGGGAGGGAAAAAUUAUCCGCCCUCCACAAAUGAUUUUGAGAUUAAUUAUGCCUAAUGGAAAAAAAAAUAAAAAUAAAAAAAAAAUCCCAGUCUGUUCAUGGACAAUGAACGGAGAGGGAUGUGAAAUUUGUCAAGGUACUAAUACAUUAGAAAUUAUUCCCACUUUUGGUCAGCAACAGUCAUUGAACACAAAUACCAUUAUAUUAAGGGCAGUAAGAGUCCAGAUGAAAUAGAAAAGAAUAAGGCCGUCAAACUUUUGGAAAGACAAGUAGAGGAGGUACAGAUCGUGCUGUGAUCUAUUCAGCACUGGUGAAAAGAGCACUGUAAAUGUUUAUUCACUUUUUGUACUCAUUGGCUUCUUAAAUAAAAGAACAGAUACUAUUUAAAA